CUGGAGGUAUCAGAAGUGCGAAUGCUGACAUAAGUAACGAUAAAGCGGGUGAAAAGCCCGCUCGCCGGAAGACCAAGGGUUCCUGUCCAACGUUAAUCGGGGCAGGGUGAGUCGACCCCUAAGGCGAGGCCGAAAGGCGUAGUCGAUGGGAAACGGGUUAAUAUUCCCGUACUUGGUGUUACUGCGAAGGGGGGACGGAGAAGGCUAUGUUGGCCGGGCGACGGUUGUCCCGGUUUAAGCGUGUAGGUGUGUGUUCCAGGUAAAUCCGGUUCACUUUAACACUGAGGCGUGACGACGAGGCACUACGGUGCUGAAGCAACAAAUGCCCUGCUUCCAGGAAAAGCCUCUAAGCAUCAGGUAACAUCAAAUCGUACCCCAAACCGACACAGGUGGUCAGGUAGAGAAUACCAAGGCGCUUGAGAGAACUCGGGUGAAGGAACUAGGCAAAAUGGUGCCGUAACUUCGGGAGAAGGCACGCUGACACGUAGGUGAAGUGAUUUACUCAUGGAGCUGAAGUCAGUCGAAGAUACCAGCUGGCUGCAACUGUUUAUUAAAAACACAGCACUGUGCAAACACGAAAGUGGACGUAUACGGUGUGACGCCUGCCCGGUGCCGGAAGGUUAAUUGAUGGGGUCAGCGCAAGCGAAGCUCCUGAUCGAAGCCCCGGUAAACGGCGGCCGUAACUAUAACGGUCCUAAGGUAGCGAAAUUCCUUGUCGGGUAAGUUCCGACCUGCACGAAUGGCGUAAUGAUGGCCAGGCUGUCUCCACCCGAGACUCAGUGAAAUUGAACUCGCUGUGAAGAUGCAGUGUACCCGCGGCAAGACGGAAAGACCCCGUGAACCUUUACUAUAGCUUGACACUGAACAUUGAGCCUUGAUGUGUAGGAUAGGUGGGAGGCUUUGAAGUGUGGACGCCAGUCUGCAUGGAGCCGACCUUGAAAUACCACCCUUUAAUGUUUGAUGUUCUAACGUGGACCCGUGAUCCGGGUUGCGGACAGUGUCUGGUGGGUAGUUUGACUGGGGCGGUCUCCUCCUAAAGAGUAACGGAGGAGCACGAAGGUUGGCUAAUCCUGGUCGGACAUCAGGAGGUUAGUGCAAUGGCAUAAGCCAGCUUGACUGCGAGCGUGACGGCGCGAGCAGGUGCGAAAGCAGGUCAUAGUGAUCCGGUGGUUCUGAAUGGAAGGGCCAUCGCUCAACGGAUAAAAGGUACUCCGGGGAUAACAGGCUGAUACCGCCCAAGAGUUCAUAUCGACGGCGGUGUUUGGCACCUCGAUGUCGGCUCAUCACAUCCUGGGGCUGAAGUAGGUCCCAAGGGUAUGGCUGUUCGCCAUUUAAAGUGGUACGCGAGCUGGGUUUAGAACGUCGUGAGACAGUUCGGUCCCUAUCUGCCGUGGGCGCUGGAGAACUGAGGGGGGCUGCUCCUAGUACGAGAGGACCGGAGUGGACGCAUCACUGGUGUUCGGGUUGUCAUGCCAAUGGCACUGCCCGGUAGCUAAAUGCGGAAGAGAUAAGUGCUGAAAGCAUCUAAGCACGAAACUUGCCCCGAGAUGAGUUCUCCCUGAGACUUUA
rnacentral:rRNA from 1 species